rnacentral:rRNA from 1 species
UACGGGGGGGGUAAGCGUUGUUCGGAAUUACUGGGCGUAAAGGGCUCGUAGGCGGCCAACUAAGUCAGACGUGAAAUCCCUCAGCUUAACUGGGGAACUGCGUCUGAUACUGGAUGGCUUGGAUUCGGGAGAGGAAUGCGGAAUUCCGAUGGUGAGCGGUGAAAUGCGUAGAUAUCGGAAGGAACACCGGUGGCGAAGGCGGUCUACCUGGGCU